UGUGAGCUCUCUUAGAUCCACUGC
rnacentral:siRNA from 1 species